GACGAACGCUGGCGGCGCGCUUAACACAUGCAAGUCGAACGGAAAGGCCCUGCUUUUGUGUUGUGCUCGAGUGGCGAACGGGUGAGUAACACGUGAGUAACCUGCCCUUGACUGUGGGAUAACGUCAGGAAACGGGGGCUAAUACCGCAUAGGAGCUUCGGCUGCAUUGUGUGGGUUGGAAAGGUUCUGCGGUUGGGGAUUGAGUCGCGGCUUAUCAGUUUGGUGGUGGGGGAGUGGCUUACCAAGGCUGUGGCGGGUUACCGGCCUGAGGGGGUGGCCGGCCAGCUUGAGAGGGAGAUACGGCCGAGACAGCUACGGGCGGCAGCAGUGGGGAAUAUUGAACAAUGAGCGGAAGCCUGAUGCAGCAAGCCCGCGUGCGGGAUGACAGAAUUCGGGUUGUAAACCGAUUUCGCCUGUGACGAAGCGUAAGAGACGGUACUGGGUAAAGAAGCACCGGCUAACUACGUG
rnacentral:rRNA from 1 species